rnacentral:rRNA from 1 species
GGAGGUUCGAAGACGAUCAGAUACCGUCGUAGUUCCGACCGUAAACGAUGCCGACCCGCGAUCCGGCGGCGUUAUUCCCAUGACCCGCCGGGCAGCGUGCGGGAAACCACGAGUCUUUGGGUUCCGGGGGGAGUAUGGUUGCAAAGCUGAAACUUAAAGGAAUUGACGGAAGGGCACCACCAGGAGUGGAGCCUGCGGCUUAAUUUGACUCAACACGGGAAACCUCACCCGGCCCGGACACGGAAAGGAUUGACAGAUUGAAAGCUCUUUCUCGAUUCUGUGGGUGGUG